GCGGGGUCCUGUCCGUCGGCAAAACUUGGGAGUGUUGUGGAGGCUCGACCGCCUGGGAGGUUUAAAGAGACGUUGUCGGAGGUCAGAAGUUGGUUGGAUCCCCGGAGGGUGACUCCUGUCACAAACUUCGGUUGGGGGGGUAUUUUAUAUCCAACAGAUAGAAAAAGAGAAUAGAAUAGCAAACUAAUCAAGUUGAGAGAAGAGAAAAAGAGAGAGAGACAGGUGUGUAAAAAGAGAGGCCCUUCAUCUUCUAUAUCUCUCCCUUUGUUGCCACCUCUUCUCCUUGGGUGUGGAUCCUUCUUGGGCAUCUCACCUACUGG
rnacentral:lncRNA from 1 species